rnacentral:lncRNA from 1 species
UGCCGAGUUUGGACGAUGAUCCCGUUGUCAUUGUUUUGGUCCUUUUUUCAUGCAGGGCCAUUCAAGAGACCCAAAUGAAGUAUUUGUCGGAGUGGGACCAGUGGAAACGGUACAGCAGCAAGUCGUGGAAGAGGUUCUUGGAGAAGGCUCGAGAGAUGACCAGGCACCUGGAGCUGUGGCGGGAGGACAUUCGCAGCAUAGAAGGGAAAUUUGGCACUGGCAUCCAGUCCUAUUUCUCCUUCUUGAGGUUCCUGGUGUUGCUGAACUUGGUGAUAUUUCUAAUCAUCUUUAUGUUGGUUUUGCUCCCAGUUCUGCUCACCAGAUACAGAAUCACCAAUAGCACCUUUGUGCUCAUUCCGUUGAAAGACACGGGUAAGUUUAUGACCUUGUUUACUUGUUGUGUGUUCUUUUCACUCUGUUCCUCACUGCAGUGCUUUCUUUGCUAAGAAUCUCCGUUCU